UACGUAGGGACCGAGCGUUGUCCGGAAUCAUUGGGCGUAAAGAGCGUGUAGGCGGCUUGCUAAGUCUUGCGUGAAAUCUCGGGGCGUCAACCCCGAGCGGUCGUGGGAAACUGGCAGGCUAGAGUGCGGGAGAGGGAUGCGGAAUUCCAGGUGUAGCGGUGAAAUGCGUAGAUAUCUGGAGGAACACCGGUGGCGAAGGCGGCAUCCUGGACCGGCAUUGCGCUGAGGCGCG
rnacentral:rRNA from 1 species